UGCAUUAUUGUGAGAAGAUAAUGACACUUAGGGGCGUUUGGUUGGAUGUAGUUGCAGAAACAGUGUAGUUGGAAAUAUAUGCAGUUGCAAAUGCUGCAGUUAUAACUAUAUCUAGUCUGUUUGGUUUUACGCAGUUGCAACUGCUGCAGUUACAUUUCUUCUGUUUGGUAAUAUGAAGCUGAUAGUUGUAUUUAUGAAUUUUGUCACCUCUUCAGAUAAAGUGGUGAGGUUACCUUCACUAAACAUAAAAUAAUUGUAUAAAUUUAUUAAUUAUUUAAAUU
rnacentral:lncRNA from 1 species